rnacentral:rRNA from 1 species
GGAUUAGAUACCCUGGUAGUCCAUGCCCUAAACGAUGUCGACUAGUUGUUGGGGUGUUUAUAAUCUCAGUAACGAAGCUAACGCGUGAAGUCGACCGCCUGGGGAGUACGGUCGCAAGAUUAAAACUCAAAGGAAUUGACGGGGACCCGCACAAGCGGUGGAUGAUGUGGAUUAAUUCGAUGCAACGCGAAAAACCUUACCUACCCUUGACAUGCCACUAACGAAACAGAGACGUAUUAGGUGCCCGAAAGGGCAAGUGGACACAGGUGCUGCAUGGCUGUCGUCAGCUCGUGCUG